CUGUCCUUGGGCAGGUUACAUUAUUGUUGUAUUCCUCUAAGGAAUGUAGAGGAAAAAAGUAAAAACAGUUUGUCCUUUCCUCCUCUUUGAAUAUCCCAGACCCCUCUCUCCUUGGGAAGCCCUAGACUUCUUGUCAACCUGCCUAGGAAGUGACCCUCUUAUUUCUCCAUUUUCUUUU